rnacentral:rRNA from 1 species
CUGAACCAGCCAAGUAGCGUGAAGGAUGACUGCCCUAUGGGUUGUAAACUUCUUUUAUAUGGGAAUAAAGUUGUCCACGUGUGGAUUUUUGUAUGUACCAUAUGAAUAAGGAUCGGCUAACUCCGUGCCAGCAGCCGCGGUAAUACGGAGGAUCCGAGCGUUAUCCGGAUUUAUUGGGUUUAAAGGGAGCGUAGGCGGAUUGUUAAGUCAGUUGUGAAAGUUUGCGGA